CCUACGGGCGGCUGCAGUGAGGAAUAUUGGUCAAUGGGCGGUAGCCUGAACCAGCCAAGCAGCGUGAAGGAUGAUUGCCUUUUGGCUUUUAACCUUCUUUUUUAUGGGAAUAAAGUGGAGUAUGUAUACUGCAUUGCAGUUACCUUAUGAAUAACGACCGGCAAACCCCGUGCCAGCACCCGCGGUAAUACGGAGGAUCCGAGGGUUACCCGGAUUGAUUGGGUUUAAAGGGAGCGUAGGCGGGUUGUAAAGUCAGGUGUGAAAGUAUGCGGCCUAAACGUAAAAUUGCCAUUGAUACUGGCAUGCUGGAGUGCAGAAGAGGUAGGAGGAAUUCGUGGUGUAGCGGUGAAAUGCUUAGAUAUCACGAAGAACACCGAUUGCGAAGGCAGCCUGC
rnacentral:rRNA from 1 species